rnacentral:rRNA from 1 species
GGAAGGUUACUAAGACUGGAUAGGAAACAAAAAGGCAUCUUUUUGUUUUUAAAAGACCUUCUUACGAAGGUAUGCUUAAAGAGGGGCUUGCGCCACAUUAGUUAGUUGGUAGAGUAAAAGCCUACCAAGACGAUGAUGUGUAGCUGGACUGAGAGGUUGAACAGCCACAUUGGGACUGAGACACGGCCCAAACUCCUACGGGAGGCAGCAGUAGGGAAUUUUCGGCAAUGGAGGAAACUCUGACCGAGCAACGCCGCGUGAACGAUGAAGUAUUUCGGUAUGUAAAGUUCUUUUAUUGAAAAAGAAAAAGUAGUGGAAAAACUAUAUUGACGUUAUUCAAUGAAUAAGCCCCGGCUAACUAUGUGCCAGCAGCCGCGGUAAGACAUAGGGGGCGAGCGUUAUCCGGAAUUAUUGGGCGUAAAGGGUGCGUAGGCUGUUAGAUAAGUCUAUAAUUUAAUUUCAGUGCUUAACGCUGUCUUGUUAUAGAAACUGUCUUGACUAGAGUGAGAUAGAGGCAAGCGGAAUUCCAUGUGUAGCGGUAAAAUGUGUAAAUAUAUGGAGGAACACCAGAAGCGUAGGCGGCUUGCUGGGUCUUUACUGACGCUGAGGCACGAAAGCGUGGGUAGCAAACAGGAUUAGAUACCCUGGUAGUCCACGCCGUAAACGAUGAGUACUAAGUGUCGGGGUAAAACUCGGUACUGAAGUUAACACAUUAAGUACUCCGCCUGAGUAGUACGUACGCAAGUAUGAAACUUAAAGGAAUUGACGGGACUCCGCACAAGCGGUGGAUCAUGUUGUUUAAUUCGAAGAUACACGAAAAAUCUUACCAGGUCUUGACAUACUCUGCAAAGCUAUAGAAAUAUAGUGGAGGUUAUCAGGGAUACAGGUGGUGCAUGGUUGUCGUCAGUUCGUGUCGUGAGAUGUUAGGUUAAGUCCUAAAACGAACGCAACCCUUGUCGUUAAUUGCCAGCACAUAAUGGUGGGGACUUUAACGAGACUGCCAAUUAAACAUUGGAGGAAGGUGAGGAUUACGUCAAAUCAUCAUGCCCCUUAUGAUCUGGGCUACAAACGUGAUACAAUGGCUGUGACAAAGAGUAGCUGAAACGCGAGUUUUUAGCCAAUCUCAAAAAAGCAGUCUCAGUUCGGAUUGAAGUCUGUAACUCGACUUCAUGAAGUUGGAAUCGCUAGUAAUCGCGAAUCAGCAUGUCGCGGUGAAUACGUUCUCGGGGUUUGUACACACCGCCCGUCA